rnacentral:lncRNA from 1 species
GUACUUUCUUGCUACAAAGUGCAGUGCGCUUCAGCUGUGCUCAGAGCGUCCAAGGAAAGAGUGUUUGAGCAUGCCUAAGUGGAAUCGUGAUGGAGCAAGGGUGCCUGUCUGGAGACAGAGGGUUUCUGCAGCAGAAAUCAACAUGGGACCCACAAGCGAAGCGGACGUUCAGUCUGGGGCCACUCUGCUAGCUCCACUUCCUCCUGAAGACAAGUUCUCUUGCUGAAGCCCUUUCCGCUCAGAUCUCACAAUUCAGUUCUUCCCAAGGGAGACCGAGGCUGGAUGGUGGUAAUAUCGGUGAAACCUCUGCAGAGUGAUGAAGUAAAUGCAUCCCAGCGGGUGUUGCAACACGGCAGCAGGUGCUCCACAGUGCUGGUUAUUAGAAGAUUCUUGAACUCAAAAAUUAAUCAUAGAGGAGUGACGUCAGCAACAUGGCAGAGUAAGCAGUUUUCUUUGUCUCUCCUCUUUUGAACUACAACUAAUUGGACAUUCAUUGGUCAACAAAGGAUAUCCAUACAGCAUCUCAGGAUGCCUGAGAGAUCCACA